AUUGAACGCUGGAGGCAGGCCUAAAACAUCCAAGUCGAGCGAGCGGCGGACGGGUGAGUAAUGUCUGGGAAACUGCCUGAUGGAGGGGGAUAACUACUGGAAAGGUUAGCUAAUACGGCAUACCAUCAGAUGUGCCCAAAUGGGAUUGGCUAGUAGGUGGGGUAACGGCUCACCUAGGCGACGAUCCCUAGCUGGUCUGAGAGGAUGACCAGCCACACGGGAACGGAGACACGGUCCAGACUCCUACGGGAGGCAGCAGUGGGGAAUAUUGCACAAGGGGCGCAAGCCUGAUGCAGCCAUGCCGCGUGUGUGAAGAAGGCCUUCGGGUUGUAAAGCACUUUCAGCGGGGAGGCGUUACCCGCAGAAGAAGCACCGGCUAACUCCGUGCCAGCAGCCGCGGUAAUUC
rnacentral:rRNA from 1 species